CUGAUCCAAAUCUUUAUUAUCGAGAGGCAUUUAUUGAAAAAUAGAAAUCACGGUUUGUUUUUAAUGUUGUUUUUUUCUCACAGACACGAUAAAAGGAGACGACUUGAACGUAAAAAGAUCGGAAAACUCCGAACAGCGAUCUGACGGUAGAGCCCACAAGUUAAAUUUUGUAGUUACCCGUUGUUUUAACGGUCUUUUUCUCGGAUUGUAUUCUUUUUUUCUCUCUCUUCGGAAAGCUUUGUGUUGAAUAGUUAAUAAAUCCUGAGUAAAUGCCGUCGAUUUGACUCCGUUUCAAUUUUCAAAAGGAACAAAAAUCGUUUUGCUCUCGACGAAAGGAAAGGUUUUUUUAAACGUUACAGCCGACCUGCAAGGACUAGACGCCCCACUUCGUUAAACGAACGUUUCGACCAUUGAUGCUCUGUCAAAUUGAGAGAUGAAAGAAGAGUCGAAGAUUCAACAAAUAAGAAAGGAGAGGAUGAUCAGCGUCUCGCCCUACAGCGUCGAGGCAAAGAGGAAACAUAAGACGUUGUUCAGCCAGCAACAAAACGGCCCGAACAACCCGACUCCUCAGGAUGAAAAUUCAAAAGUCAAAGUGUUCGUCAGGGUGAGGCCCUUCAACGAGAAAGAACACUCCUGUGGCUGCAAAAGAGUUAUCAAUGUGGUCGACAACAAUACUCUUGUGUUUGACCCAAAAGAGACCAACGAGCCUUUCUUUUUUCGUGGAGUCGUCCAGAAGAGUCGGGACAUAAAUAAAAGAGCCAACAAAGACAUGUUAUUCGAAUUUGACAGAGUUUUUGAUGAGGAGGCAUCAAAUGAAGAUGUAUUCAACGUCACUACUAAAGAAAUUGUCAAAUCAAUAUUCGAAGGGUACAAUUGUUCUGUUUUCGCUUAUGGAGCUACCGGGGCUGGCAAAACGUUCACCAUGCUUGGCACCGAAGAUAGACCAGGAAUCACAUUUCUUACAAUUGUAGAAUUAUUGAAACAAGUGGAAGAAUCAAACGAAGAAUUAAAUGUCACAUUGGGUGUGUCAUACAUAGAGGUUUAUAACGAGAAUGUAAGGGACCUCUUACACCCUAAUGCAGACAUUCUUCAGCUCCGAGAGGAAGGCGGACGAGUGACUAUUUCUGGACUAGUAGUUGAAAAAAUCAUUUCGUCCGACCAUUUGUUUUCCCUGUUGAAUACCGGCAAUCAGAAUAGAUCUCAGCACCCUACUGAUAGCAAUUCUGAAAGCUCACGAUCUCAUGCCGUAUUCCAAGUACAUGUGAGAAUGGAUUAUAGAGGUACGUUAAAACUAGCAAAACUGUCUAUGAUUGAUCUAGCCGGUUCGGAAAGAGGGUCAUCCACAGGUUGCAAAGGUAUUCGCUUUAAGGAAGGCUCAAAUAUUAAUAAAUCUCUUCUUGCCCUUGGAAAUUGUAUAAAUGCUUUAGCUGAAGGUUUAAAACAUAUACCAUAUCGAGAUUCAAAACUGACUAGGAUUUUAAAAGACUCACUGGGUGGGAACUGUCAGACAAUGAUGAUCGCUAAUAUUUCGCCAUCAUCUUCUUCCUUUGAAGACACAUACAACACUCUGAAAUAUGCAACAAGGGCAAAAUGUAUUAAAUCAAAGAUUACAAAGAAUGUAAUGAAUGAAACUUAUUCAAUUGCACACUACAAGAAAUUGAAUGAAGAAUUACAGCGAAGGAUAUCUAAGUUGGAGGAAAAUGCAAUACCAGAAGUUGGUCAAUGGAUUUCAAAAAUCCAAUCCAUUAUGGAAGAAAGACUAAAGAUCUAUAAAGAGAUCAUUGCUCUAGAAAGUCAGAAAAAACUCACAGAAUGGCGAUUAGGCCACAAAGCCAUAACUCAAUCAUUGUAUGACCCAACGAUCAAUGAUAGCCAGAGAUUGAAUAGAAUCAAUGCGAGUGUGAUGCAGUUGAAAGCAAGGACCGAAACGGUUAAAUACAGGCUAGAUGAAUAUCCGCCUUCGUUAGCUGCAAAUGAAGAGAUGUUGAAUUCUCUGACAAGCGAGAUCAACAAAAAUACUAAACUUUCUCAGCUUCUUCAACCAAUGAUUGAUCUCUAUCACCGACAGAUAACAAUUGAGAUACAAGAACAAUCUAUGGAACAUUUGUACAAAGUAAUAAGAUUGAAAGACAAACAAGAAGAGAUUUACACAACCACCAUUGGCCGUGUGCUGCCAGUUUUUAAAGAAUUUUACAUUCUAUUGAGAAGUUUCGGGCACACAAACGAAGACAUCUCGGCAAAAUAUGAGGAUAUAGCAAAAAGCCUUGAAAGUAUAAAGGCGGUGACCUGGAAUGAGGAAACUGAAGAAUCAUCAGACGAGGGUAAUGCUAAGAGCAAUCUUCGAUUAAGUCUUUCACGACUUCAAGUAAUUCCUGAUAUUUUAAAUGCAGGCGCUGGUGGAGAACCUUACGACUUCAACAAAACUAUCACGUUAAAGGAAAACCAACAACCAAUGAAGAGCACCACUUUUGGAGGAGGGCCGAUUAAAAGUGUGAUGCCCAUAACAAAGAACAGGACUUUCAUAAAGCCGAGGUUGGCAAUGAAUAAAGAAAACGUGAAAUUGCCAGUUGUUGGAACGCCAUUGUCAAAGUUACCCCGUUAUUCUCGUGUGACUGUAUCUUGUAAACUAACUGGCACAAUAACUUGACCUUACCCAUCCUCCUGCGUAUGCUUUAUCAAGUGGUUUCAAACCAAAGAGCCUUACAAAAAGAGGUUUUCCAUUGAGAAGUCUCCCCAACCAGUCUACCGUACUGAAUGCAAAGUCGUAUGUUAAGUUUAAAGCUACCAGCACGAGGAAAGUUCCUUCUAUAUCAAAAGCGGUCCGAUAAUUGAUGUUGACAUUGUAGAUUGGUUAAUGUAUAAUAAGGUCACUCAGGAUGAUUAGAACAAAUAAACUUUUUAUUUAAAACCUGCAA
rnacentral:misc_RNA from 1 species